ensembl:lncRNA novel transcript
CAAGUUCUAAGGCCUUACUGAUUUCCAGUCAACUUGUUCUAUCCAUUAUUGAGAGACGAGUGUUAUAGUCAGCAACUAUAAUUAGCCGUCUGUUCUCAGGCCAAGCUUGCUUCCUACUCUGCCAUAAGGUGAGCCAUCUCUACCUGCCUGGAGAUGGACCUGCGGUCAUCCAGUUCCACCAGUGCCUGGCUGGAGCUAUAAGUUGGUGCUGUUUGCCAGGGUUGGUGUCUACAGAGGGCCAGGGGAAUUCCAAGCGAGGGACUCAAGGAGAGCUUCUUGGACUCCUCAAGUUCUACCAGGAGGCAGUGCUAUGGUGUGCCCAACCCUCCCAGGGGCCUAAGUGGCCACCCUCUUGGGAAUGCCCAAAGCAUCUGCUAUUUAGGACUUGGUUACAGAGCACCAUCAGCUUCCCCAAGUUUGCAAGCAAGCAUUUUCCCAGGAGAUAGAGUGGCCAAGGUAUUGCUUGUGUCUGACCCCCUUCUUCUGUCUGAAACAAGGGCUACCCUCCACCCAGCCACUGUCUAAAGAGCUUCAUUUAAAGCUGUCUGACAACAUCUACCCGGUGGAGGACCUCGCCGCCACGUCGGUGACCAUCUUUCCCAAUGCCGAACUGGGAGGCCCCUUUGACCAGAUGAACGGAGUGGCCGGAGAUGGCAUGAUCAACAUUGACAUGACUGGAGAGAAGA